UUCCUUUAGAGCAUGCUCCUUACCCAUCCUAACCUGUGACUCUGGCUGGGGUGAUUGGUUCAGGAUAGGAUCAGACUGAAAUUGGACCAAUCAGACUCCUUCCCUGGGAUUUUUCUAACUUAAGAGUUGGUGGGAAAUAGUUUACUUUCCUUUCUAGACUCAAGGUUAUGAGGAUGUGAGCCUGGAGCUAUCGAGGCCAUAAGCCUGGUGUCACAGGGAAUGAAGCCACCAGGGAGAAUCAGAGAUGAGAGAUGGACUAUGAGAAGCUUUCAAAAUCCAGGCAUGGAAGCCAACCUCCUUCCCCUACACCUCCCAUGGUUUAGCUGCGGGGGCCAAUAAUCCUUUUUUCAUUUAGGCUACUGAGACUUGGGUUCCUACUACUUAGAACCAAAGGAGUUCUGACUCCCACACCAGGAAUUACAUGAAAUAGACUUGAUCGGAUUCCUGUGUCCUUUGCAAGAACCAGUAGCAAUACUGCAAAUGGCCAAAUAUAUCUGUGUUUCGUGAAGUCAUGUGUUUUCUAUAUCCCAGUCUACGGGAGUACAAAUUUGCGUAUCUGAUGCAUCUUAUCCUGAUGAAGUCUAGCAUGCAACACUGUCCCAGAAGCAGCGAAACAGCCUCAGAAACAAGUGUUCCUGUGACAAAGCUCCCACGCAUUUUCAUCAGUGAGUCAACGUAUGAAGCAUAAGAACAAUUUGAUUACAAUAAUGUGGCGCAACACAACAUACAGCUUGUUGUUCAAACACAUUUGAAUUGUUAUUUUUGUGUCCAUGUCAGAUUAGUUUUUUGUAUAUUCAUUCCGAAUUAUUGAUCACACCAAAAUUCACGUAUGAUGAGGAGGUAACAGUGGAAGCAAAACACAUAAAAGUGAGAGAAAGAAGAUGGACAGAAAGUUUAAAACAUUAAAAAUUAUCUCUAUAUCAUAAUGGACACUGAAAAUUCUUACUGUCAAAAUCAUGAAGAAAAAGAAUGAUAAUAGCCAAGAAAAACAGAUAAUGAAACUUAGCACAGCAGAUAAAGAAGAUUGUGAGACUCAGGAACACCCCCAGACAGGAAACCAGAAGCAGAAGGAAGAUGAUAUAAGAAAGAAAAAGUCUGUAUGUUCAACAGAUAUACACAAAGGUCAGCAGGAGCUACCUUUUGAUGAAUUUGUUGACUUCAAUAAAUAUCAUAAUGUUUCAUUACAGCCUGUUACAAUGAGCAAUCAUAUUUUUAAAUUUGGCAGUUAUACCUUUUAAUUUCCAAAAGCUCUUCCUUAUACCUAGGUUUUUGACCUAAGCGAUUACGUGGGUGAUGGUGCUGUCAUUUAUGGAGAUGCAAAGGAUGGGGAAGAAAAAAUUUAGGAGUAUAAAUCAAGCGUUCUGUGUUGUUUUACACCUGGAAAAGGAACUGGUAGCAUAAUUGAAUUGUACAUCAUUUAUACACUCCUAGGUCGUCAAACAGUGCACUAUCUUUCUAUGCCUUUCAAUACCUUUUAUACUUCUACUGUCUUAAAGCUAUCUCUGGAAGACGUGACCUGUGCUGCUUACACCCCCUUCAAGAAAGGACUAGCUGCCCAGAUGCAAGAAGUGUAGUGAGGGGCCGGCCCCAGGGCCAAGUGGUUAAGUUCAUGCGUUCCGCUUUGUGGGGUCCAGGGUUUUGCUGGUUCAGAUCCUGGGCACAGACAUGGCACCACUCAUCAGGCCAUGUUGAGGCAGCAUCCCACAUGCCACAACUAGAAGGAUCCACAACUAAAAUAUACAACUAUGUACUGGGGGGAUUUGGGGAGAAAAAGCAAUACAAAAAAUAAAUUAAAAAAAAAAGGAAGUGUAGUGAGCUGGCAGGCUCCAGCUGUUAUCUCCUUCAGGGUCCAUCUCAGCUUUCAAACUGAGGUCAUGCUCUUUCAGGGGCAUCUCUCAGCCAUUGACUGACAGGGCAUGGUGGCUAAGAGCACUGUUUUCCAGGCGGUCCCUAGUCAUUGACCGAGCUGGCAGCAGCACAAGGGUCUAGCCAUCUCCCCCGAUGCAGGACUCCUCUAUCAAGCAGUCUUGGCUCUGGAGCUCCCUGUUGGGCUGGCAGAGACUUUGCCAGGUCUGCACUGUCUUCUGAUGAUGCCCUCUUUCCUUCACAGGUGUUAUUCUUCAAUAAACCUUUUGUACUCAUUACUCCAUCUCAGUAUCUGCUUCCUGGAGAACCGAAUCUGUGACACU
ensembl:lncRNA